AGAUAAAAAUUUAUGAUUUAAAAAAUUUAUUUUAAAUUUAAUUUACAUGUAAAUCUUUGUAUGAAUUUUAUUGUAUUUUAAAAAUAUAAUAAAUAAUUUAACAGUAAUUAAAAUUAAAAAUUUAAGAAAUUAAGAUUUAGAAAUAUAAAAAUUAAAUAACGAAUUUUGUGCCAGCAGUUGCGGUUAUACAAAAAUUUAAAUAAAUUAUAUUAAUAAAAAUAAAUAAUUAUAGUAAAAUAAAUUAAAUUUAGAAUUAUUAAGUGAAAUUUUAAUUUUAUAAAAAUUUAUAUAUUAAUUAUGAAUUUAAAAAUUUUAUUAAUAAACUAGGAUUAGAUACCCUAUUAUAAAAAAUUAAUUAAAAAUAUUAAAAUAGUAAAUAAUUAUUUAUUAAAACUUAAAUAAUUUGGCGGUAUUUUAGUUCAUUUAGAGGAAUCUGUCUAUUAAUUGAUAAUCCACGAAUAAUUAUAUUUAAUUUAAAAUUUUAUAUAUCGUUGUUAAAAAAAUAUUUUAUAAAAAGAAUAAUAUUUUAAAAUUUAAAAUUAAAACUAAUUCAGAUCAAGAUGUAGAUAAUAAUUAAAUUUAAGAUGGAUUACAAUAUAAUUAUAUAAAAAUGGAAAAUAAUUUUGAAAUAAUUAUUAGAAAGUGGAUUUAAAUGUAAUUUUAAAUAAUUUUUUAAAAUGAUUGAAAAUUAAAAUAUGUACAUAUUGCCCGUCACUUUCAUUUAAAAAUUGAAAUAAGUCGUAACAAAGUAGGGGUACUGGAAAGUGUUCCUAGAAAGA
rnacentral:ncRNA from 1 species